GUUUGAGAGGGAAGACAAAUAGAUCCACCCCAACGUGUGAAACAAAAAGGCCUUCUUUUAUGGCCCACCUUAAGGAAAAUUAAAACCCUCUUUGAAAACAACAUCAACGGGAAAUCCUCUAACUCUUCAUCUUCUUGGGAACAAAACAAUCUUCUUCUAUAUACCUCUUCCCUUUCUCUCUUUUUCUUCACUCUAAUAACUAUUAUAAAUUUUUUGUAUAUAAACUCAAACAUAGUGAUACCCUUUUUGUGUUCUUUCUAAAAGCAUUGAGAAACUAGAUGGUCAUGGACAUGAAGAACAAGAGGAAAAUAUUUAAGGAUUUUGCAAAGAUUCAUUUUCAAUUUUUUGAGGAUGUUUUUUGUGACUUUGUUGGUACGAGGUAUGGUUUUGAAGACUAGGAUUGAUCUCAUUUGUGUUGGAGAAUUCAUCACUACAGGCGUACAUGGGAAAGCCAGGCAUUUUUAUUAUUUUUUUCUUUUUCAUUUUCAUCUUUGUUAUUUAAUUUCUAUAUAGACUAUAGUUUAUUUAUUUUAUCUUGAACUUACUUUAUUAAAUAUUAUGUUGGGUUAAUUAUAUGGGGUUAGAGAUUGCCAUAUUCUUGAACGGCUUUUAGGACAUCAAUGAUCAUCAAAUUAAAGCAUUGAAAUAAAAUUUGUGGCUGGUUUUCCUAGUCUCUCUUCAUUUGCAUCAUUGCUCUCUUAUACUUCUUAUGUAACAAGUUAUUAUUACUACUAUGAAUUAUGCAGAAGGGUAUGGUUUUAGUUCAAUUGAUGGAGGAGAAAGGAAGAAUUUUAAUAGGGAAGGGAUGGGAGGUAAGCAAUUAUGUUAGAUUCAACCAUGGGAGAAUAUUUAACAGCAAGAACGUGAUUUUUAAUUAUUUUUUUACUCUUAUUCUAUUUAAAAUGACAUUGAAUAAAACAACAUUUAAGAUCUCCGUGAGCUUAAACACUCCAUUUUUUUCGCAUUUAAAAUUUGGAAGUUUUAAUCACUAGAUUACUUGAAGAAGAAAAAAAUAAUUAAGCUGUAAAAAAAAAUACAUUUAGGUUUAAAUAUUUUCCCUUCAAAACCUUCUCAUCUUAGAGGAAUUUUGCUCCUCCUCUCAUAGUUUCUAUCGAGCCAAACACAUCAUAAAGAUGCAACUUAUAUCUGUGAUCAAUUUCUCAUGUUUGGAGAAGAAAAAAUGAUUCUUGUAUGAAAAUGUGCAGAUUUGCAAAUUGCAUUCUAUUUGAAAAUUUGUAGUAGUAAUACAUAAUUUUAGAAAUGGUAAAACAUUCCUAUUUCUCUACUUCAAACCUAAACUUCGUUUUCAUGACAUGCUACCUAAUUUUCCUGCAUUGGUUUCAAUGGUUUGUAGGUAACAUGGCAAAUCAUGUGACAUCAAUUUUCUUUAUUGUGACUACUAUUCAUCUUCUAGAAUGAUGAAGAAAUAUUUUAGUCGCUUAGAAAAUACCAAGGUCAAAUUAGUUUUUGUGAAAGAAAAAACAACAGACUUUUUCAUUUGCUUACAAAAAAUAAAUUAGAGCACACAAAUCUUACUACCAAAUUUUUUCCAGCCGAUAUUUUUUUGCUUUUGAAUAAUGACCUACUUUUGUGGUUUUCACCUUAUCAUGUAAUGGUCCAAAUGUAUUUUAUAUGAAAAAUAGGGACAUUUAGGCCCCUACAACAAUUUUCUUUAGGGAUGAUUUGGUCACAAAAAUCAAUAGUUCGAAUAUUGCUCCUUUCUUUUCACCUUUUUACUUUAUUGUUUGUUGACUUCUAAGGGACUAAAUUGACACUCUCAUUUUUUCUAGAGAGUAAGUGGUUACUUUCAUAAUUUUGUGGGGCUAAAUUGGUACAAUGGCAAAGCCAAGUUUUUUUUUUUUGACUUUUUUCUCAUAAUCUUAUUUCCAUCACAAUAUUUCCUUUUCAUUUUAUUGUGUAAGAAAUUGUUCCUUAUUUUAUGUUAACUAACAAGGUUAAU
rnacentral:lncRNA from 1 species